rfam:Triticum urartu cultivar G1812 contig18262, whole genome shotgun sequence.
UUUCUACUCCCUCCGCCAAAAAAUACUUGUCAUCAAAAUGGAUAAAAAGAGAUGUAUCUAAAACUAAAAUACGUCUAGAUACAUUUCCUUUUAUCCAUUUUGAUGACAAGUAUUUCCGGAUGGAGGGAGUAUUUG